GCUGGCACAUAGGACGAGGGUUGCGCUCGUUGCGGGACUUAACCCAACAUCUCACGACACGAGCUGACGACAACCAUGCACCACCUGUACACCGCCCUUAAGACGCCCCCAUCUCUGAGUGAUUUCCGUGUAUGUCAAGCCUUGGUAAGGUUCUUCGCGUUGCAUCGAAUUAAUCCACAUGCUCCGCCGCUUGUGCGGGCCCCCGUCAAUCCCUUUGAG
rnacentral:rRNA from 1 species